GUUAAUGCCUUUAGGGAUUGCCUAAGAAAUCUGACGUGUGUUGCUGACACUGUCACAUUCAUUUCCUUUAAAAACAGGUAUAUACAUGCUCAUUUUACAAUGGGUUUAACCUCUCUGAUUUUCACAAAAACCUCUUGAAGACGGCGUUCGUGUCAACUGCAGCUUCAACUUAAACAGGAGGGAAGAACCAGUCUGGGUGUGUGCGCUGACUACAAAGAUGGCGGAGCACUCACCUCAGCCGGGACCCCCACGUCACAUGCCCAGUCACAGCCGGCACGGAGUCUGUCCCCACACACACUCUGGCUCCAUGUUGCCGCCACGGCUUGGGGUCCUACCUGCAUCACCCUCCCUGACCACUGCCUCAGACGCCUCUCUGAAUACUUCGACUAACCUCAGCUCAUCUUUGGUUCAGCGGUUUCAGCUGUUGCCUGUUUUCUAGGGCAAAGGCUUUCCAUGAGAGGCUUGAAGAUUGGCAGUAUGAGCGUCACCUGGGCACUGGUAUAAACAUAAAUUCUUGGGCCAAACCCCAGACCUAUAGAAGAAUACGAAAAUUCGGGAGUGGAUGCAGCAAUCUGCAAUUUAGAAAGCCUUCCAGGUGAUUCUGAUGGAGGCUGAGGUUUGACAGCCACGGAACCGCUGGCUUAGAGUGAAAUGGAAGCGCUUAAGCAAGACAGCUGAGACUCAUUAUAACCGAGGAGUCCUUUGGAAUGGAGCUCUAGCUUCCAGGGAGUCCCACCUAAGACAACCUUGUUUUCCUGGCUGAGAAGCUGACACUCAGGAGAGUGCCACCAGGGGCCGCAUGAGAAGUGGAGAGGAAUCCUGGAUAUAGGAGGGAAAGGAUCUUAGCCCGGAUUGGACAGGCUCUGUGCAGCCCCAUCUGACCCUGUGGCCUUGGGAGGGCCACCUAAGCCCUAUCAACCAUGCUCAAUCCAACUGCAAAAAGAGAUGAAAGAAAGUGAGAGCUGCUCAGUCAUGUCUGACUCUUUGCAACCUCAUGGAUUGUAGCCCACCAGGCUCCUCUGUACAUGGGAUUCUCCAGGCAAAACUACUGGAGUGGCCAUUUUCUUCUCCAGAGGAUUUUCCCAACCCAGGGAUUGAACCCACAUCUCCUGCAUUGCAGGCAGACUCUUCACCAAC
ensembl:lncRNA